rnacentral:rRNA from 1 species
GUCUACGGCCAUACCACCCUGAACGCGCCCGAUCUCGUCUGAUCUCGGAAGCUAAGCAGGGUCGGGCCUGGUUAGUACUUGGAUGGGAGACGGGGUAGAGUCAUGCAGUAAGCC